GUGAAAUUUAUUAACUAUAUUUUGAUAUGCUUUUACAUUAAAUAUAGAGCAACUGUCAUAUUUUUGUUCUAGGUUUGACAAUCAUAUGCGCAAAUACAACUAUAUGGUGUAAAAGGGUUUGCACUAACACACUCUCCAAAACCAUUUUUAUUUGGAUAUUUUAAAUAGCACGUCUUUCUGCAUGUUGGGAGUAAACAUGAAUCUUUUGAGAUGAGUUCAAUACAUCUUUUUUGUUGUCCAUUCGCACCACUAGUCAUAACUGUAACAGUUUAAAUAAAACCAGAUUAUUAGAAAAAAAUAAAAUCUUGUUUAUUUAACGUAAUGAAAACUAUCAACAAAAAUAGGUGCAAAAAAAUUUGUUACAAAAAUUUUAUACCUGAAAAAAUAACGGCAAAGACGAUGAAUAGAAAGAAGGGAGGUUGGACGUCUUGUCUCGAGUUUAAAUCCAGGAGUUAACAAUUUUGUGCGUUAAUUAUGGUAUAAUUUACCAUCUCUUCGAAAAUAAAAUAAAAACCUCUCAAGUUUUGGUUUUAAUUGAAAUAAAGGAUACCAAAAUGCUUAAUGCACUUUUAAAACAUAAAUUGUAAAUUUGUGAAAUUUAUUAACUAUAUUUUGAUAUGCUUUUACAUUAAAUAUAGAGCAACUAUCAUAUUUUUGUUCUAGGUUUGACAAUCAUAUGCGCAAAUACAACUAUAUGGUGUAAAAGGGUUUGCACUAACACACUGUCCAAAACCAUUUUUAUUCGGAUAUUUUAAAUAGCACGUCUUUCUGCAUGUUGGGAGUAAACAUGAAUCUUUUGAGAUGAGUUCAAUACAUCUUUUUUGUUGUCCACUCGCACCACUAGUCAUAAC
rnacentral:lncRNA from 1 species